rnacentral:rRNA from 1 species
ACACGACUACAUUAGAUACCCGCGUAGUCCUAGCCGUAAACGAUACUCGCUAGGUGUCGGCCACGGUGCGACCGUUGUCGGUGCCGUAGGAAGCCGUGAAGCGAGCCACCGUGGGAAGUACGGCCGCAAGGCUGAAACUUAAAGGAAUUGGCGGGGAGCACCACAACGGGUGGAGCUUGCGGUUUAAUUGGAUUCAACGCCGGAAGUCUUACCGGGACCGACAGCAACAUGAAGGCCAGGCUGAAGACUUUGCCGGAUUAGCUG